GGGGACAACCAGCCGAAAGGUUGGCUAAUACCGCAUGAGUUCUACGGAAGAAAGAGGGGGACCCGCAAGGGCCUCUCGCGAGCGGAGCGGCCGAUGACUGAUUAGCCUGUUGGUGAGGUAACGGCUCACCAAAGCAACGAUCAGUAGCUGGUCUGAGAGGACGACCAGCCACACUGGGACUGAGACACGGCCCAGACUCCUACGGGAGGUAGCAGUGGGGAAUUUUGGACAAUGGGCGCAAGCCUGAUCCAGCUAUUCCGCGUGUGGGAUGAAGGCCCUCGGGUUGUAAACCACUUUUGUAGAGAAUGAAAAGACACCUUUUAAAAAAGGGUGUUGCUGACGGUACUCUAAGAAUAAGCACCGGCUAACUACGUGCCAGCAGCCGCGGUAAUACGUAGGGUGCGAGCGUUAAUCGGAAUUACUGGGCGUAAAGGGUGCGCAGGCGGUUGAGUAAGACAGAUGUGAAAUCCCCGAGCUUAACUCGGGAAUGGCAUAUGUGACUGCUCGACUAGAGUGUGUCAGAGGGAGGUGGAAUUCCACGUGUAGCAGUGAAAUGCGUAGAUAUGUGGAAGAACACCGAUGGCGAAGGCAGCCUCCUGGGACAUAACUGACGCUCAGGCACGAAAGCGUGGGGAGCAAACAGGAUUAGAUACCCU
rnacentral:rRNA from 1 species